GAAGCGGUAACAGCUCAAAUUUGAAAUCUGGCUCUUUCAGGGUCCGAGUUGUAAUUUGUAGAAGAUGCUUCGGGUGUGGCUCCGGUCUAAGUUCCUUGGAACAGGACGUCAUAGAGGGUGAGAAUCCCGUAUGUGACUGGCUGCCUCCGCCCAUGUGAAGCUCUUUCGACGAGUCGAGUUGUUUGGGAAUGCAGCUCAAAAUGGGUGGUAAAUUUCAUCUAAAGCUAAAUAUUGGCCAGAGACCGAUAGCGCACAAGUAGAGUGAUCGAAAGAUGAAAAGCACUUUGGAAAGAGAGUUAAACAGUACGUGAAAUUGUUGAAAGGGAAGCGCUUGCAAUCAGACUUGCACGCUGCUGAUCAUCGGAGGUUCUCCUUCGUGCACUCGGUAGCGUUCAGGCCAGCAUCGGUUUGGGUGGUUAGAUAAAGGCCUUGGGAACGUAGCUUCUUUCGGGGAGUGUUAUAGCCCAGGGUGCAAUGUAGCCUACCCGGACCGAGGACCGCGCUUCGGCUAGGAUGCUGGCGUAAUGGUUGUAAGCGACCCGUCUUGAAACACGGACCAAGGAGUCUAACAUCUAUGCGAGUAUUUGGGUGUCAAACCCAUAUGCGUAAUGAAAGUGAACGGAGGUGAGAACCCUUAAGGGUGCAUCAUCGACCGGUCCUGAAGUCUUCGGAUGGAUCUGAGUAAGAGCAUAGCUGUUGGGACCCGAAAGAUGGUGAACUAUGCCUGAAUAGGGUGAAGCCAGAGGAAACUCUGGUGGAGGCUCGCAGCGGUUCUGACGUGCAAAUCGAUCGUCAAAUUUGGGUAUAGGGGCGAAAGACUAAUCGAACCAUUGGGCACUACUAGGUGGGUUGAGAGGCUGCUGAAAGCGCAGCCUAGUCCUGGUCACAGGGCAACACUUCCAAAUUGCGGGGACGUCCUGUCAACUGCUGAGCUACCGCAGCCCCNCCGAAAGGGGCGGGCGCGCACCGGGUUAACGACCCUGGGGAUGGUAACAACGCUCAGCUAGGGAUGAUCCGCAGCCAAGUCCUACCGGCCUCACGGCCCACGGAUGCAGUUCACAGACUAAAUGGAAGUGGGCGGCCUUCGAGGCUGCUUAAGUUAUAGUCGACCCGCCGCGAGAGCGGUGGGCUGGAGAGGCGUGCGGCGGGGUGACCACACCCGCCGCCCAAGAAUCCAGCCCGGGAGGGGCCCUCAGCGGCCCCUCCGGAGCAGCGCUAGUAGCUGGUUCCUGCCGAAGUUUCCCUCAGGAUAGCAGUGUUGAAUUCAGUUUUAUGAGGUAAAGCGAAUGAUUAGAGGCCUUGGGGUUGAAACAACCUUAACCUAUUCUCAAACUUUAAAUAUGUAAGAAGUCCUUGUUACUUAAUUGAACGUGGACAUUCGAAUGUACCAACACUAGUGGGCCAUUUUUGGUAAGCAGAACUGGCGAUGCGGGAUGAACCGAACGUGGAGUUAAGGUGCCGGAAUGUACGCUCAUCAGACACCACAAAAGGUGUUAGUUCAUCUAGACAAUCGGACUGUGGCCAUGGAAGUCGGAAUCAGCUAAGGAAUGUGUAACAACUCACCGAUCGAAUGAACUAGCCCUGAAAAUGGAUGGCGCUUAAGCGUACUACCCAUACUCCACCGCCAGGGUAGAAACGAUG
rnacentral:rRNA from 1 species